rnacentral:tRNA from 1 species
CUUAGCUCAGUUGGUAGAGCACCUGACUGUUAAUCAGGGUGUCGCUGGUUCGAGUCCAGCC